AGAAAAAUAAGCUAAAUAGCAAGCUAAUGAGUUCAUACCUCAUAAAUGGAUAAACCCUUUUUCUA
rnacentral:tRNA from 1 species